AUGAGCCACCACGCCUGGCCUUGUCCAUGUUUCUAUUGCUGCCCCUGCUGACUUCUGAUUUUGACACUCUGGCCACAGAGUAACAUGGCUGCUAACAUCUUACUUCACCUUACCCUUCCUGCCACUUCAGCCAUGAACUAAGGAGGGCCUGCUUGAUCAACACACGUAGGGGCAAGGACUGUGCUUCUCUUCAUGACUUUGUCCUAAGUGUGUGUAUCUAAAAAAAAGUUGCAGGCUGGGUGCGGUGGCUCACGCCUAUAAUCCCAACACUUUGGGAGGCCAAGGUGGGCCGAUUACUUGAAGUCAGGAGUUUAAGACCAGCUUGGGCAACAUGGUGAAACCCCAUCUCUACCAAAAAUACAAAAAUUAGCCAGGCAUGGUGGCACAUGCCUGUAAUCCCAGCUACAAUGGAGGCUG
rnacentral:lncRNA from 1 species